rnacentral:rRNA from 1 species
ACGGGAGGCAGCAGUGGGGAAUAUUGGACAAUGGGCGCAAGCCUGAUCCAGCCAUGCCGCGUGAGUGAUGAAGGCCUUAGGGUUGUAAAGCUCUUUCGUCCGGGACGAUAAUGACGGUACCGGAAGAAGAAGCCCCGGCUAACUUCGUGCCAGCAGCCGCGGUAAUACGAAGGGGGCUAGCGUUGUUCGGAAUCACUGGGCGUAAAGGGCGCGUAGGCGGCUUUGUAAGUCGGGGGUGAAAGCCUGUGGCUCAACCACAGAAUUGCCUUCGAUACUGCAUGGCUUGAGACCGGAAGAGGUUAGUGGAACUGCGAGUGUAGAGGUGAAAUUCGUAGAUAUUCGCAAGAACACCAGUGGCGAAGGCGGCUGACUGGUCCGGUUCUGACGCUGAGGCGCGAAAGCGUGGGGAGCAAACAGGAUUAGAUACCCUGGUA